UACGGGGGGGGCAAGCGUUGUUCGGAAUUACUGGGCGUAAAGGGCUCGUAGGCGGCCAACUAAGUCGGACGUGAAAUCCCUCGGCUUAACCGGGGAACUGCGUCCGAUACUGGAUGGCUUGAGUUUGGGAGAGGGAUGCGGAAUUCCAGGUGUAGCGGUGAAAUGCGCAGAUAUCAGGAGGAACACCGGUGGCGAAGGCGGGUCUCUGGGCCGAUACUGACGCUGAGGAGCGAAAGCGUGGGGAGCGAACAGG
rnacentral:rRNA from 1 species